rnacentral:rRNA from 1 species
GACGAACGCUGGCGGCGUGCUUAACACAUGCAAGUCGAACGGAAAGGCCCUGCUUUUGUGGGGUGCUCGAGUGGCGAAAGGGUGAGUAACACGUGAGUAACCUGCCCUUGACUUUGGGAUAACUUCAGGAAACUGGGGCUAAUACCGGAUAGGAGCUCCUGCUGCAUGGUGGGGGUUGGAAAGUUUCGGCGGUUGGGGAUGGACUCGCGGCUUAUCAGCCUGUUGGUGGGGUAGUGGCUUACCAAGGCUUUGACGGGUAGCCGGCCUGAGAGGGUGACCGGCCACAUUGGGACUGAGAUACGGCCCAGACUCCUACGGGAGGCAGCAGUGGGGAAUAUUGCACAAUGGGCGGAAGCCUGAUGCAGCAACGCCGCGUGCGGGAUGACGGCCUUCGGGUUGUAAACCGCUUUCGCCUGUGACGAAGCGGGAGUGACGGUAAUGGGUAAAGAAGCACCGGCUAACUACGUG